rnacentral:rRNA from 1 species
UACGGGGGGAGCAAGCGUUGUUCGGAUUUACUGGGCGUAAAGGGCGCGUAGGCGGUCAGCACAAGUCAGUUGUGAAAUCUCCGGGCUUAACUCGGAAAGGUCAACUGAUACUGUGCGACUAGAGUGCAGAAGGGGCAACUGGAAUUCUCGGUGUAGCGGUGAAAUGCGCAGAUAUCAGGAGGAAUACCAGCGGCGAAGGCGGCGCUCUGGGCCGGUACUGACGCUGAGGAGCGAAAGCGUGGGGAGCAAACAGG